UCUAGUCUGGGAUAUACGUGACUCACAUAUGUCCAACCUAUGGUACACCUACGGGAGCUUGAUAUUGUACCGCUGCCGGACCGUCUUCGAACGGAUGGCAAACUUGCAGUUACGGCGCCCACCUGCUGAGCGCAGGUUUGGACAUAUACGGGAACGCUAUUUCGGACUUGCG
rnacentral:other from 1 species